UCUGUUACUAUAACAUUUUGGUAAUAGAAUGAAAAAAAAAGCCAAUAGAUUCACAAGCAUUGGUAGCACGCUGCCUGAGGGGCACGUCUGCUGCUACCACCACACGGGUCUCUGGCCCAGUGAGUGGAGUUUGACAGUAAUUCUGGCUACAAGU
rnacentral:snoRNA from 1 species